AGAGUUUGAUCCUGGCUCAGGACGAACGCUGGCGGCGUGCUUAACACAUGCAAGUCGAACGGAAAGGCCCCUUCGGGGGUACUCGAGUGGCGAACGGGUGAGUAACACGUGGGUGAUCUGCCCUGCACUUUGGGAUAAGCCUGGGAAACUGGGUCUAAUACCGAAUAGGACUCCGGACUGCAUGGUCUGGGGUGGAAAGCUUUUGCGGUGUGGGAUGGGCCCGCGGCCUAUCAGCUUGUUGGUGGGGUGAUGGCCUACCAAGGCGACGACGGGUAGCCGGCCUGAGAGGGUGUCCGGCCACACUGGGACUGAGAUACGGCCCAGACUCCUACGGGAGGCAGCAGUGGGGAAUAUUGCACAAUGGGCGCAAGCCUGAUGCAGCGACGCCGCGUGAGGGAUGACGGCCUUCGGGUUGUAAACCUCUUUCGCCAGGGACGAAGCGCAAGUGACGGUACCUGGAGAAGAAGCACCGGCCAACUACGUGCCAGCAGCCGCGGUAAUACGUAGGGUGCGAGCGUUGUCCGGAAUUACUGGGCGUAAAGAGCUCGUAGGUGGUUUGUCGCGUUGUUCGUGAAAACUCACAGCUUAACUGUGGGCGUGCGGGCGAUACGGGCAGACUGGAGUACUGCAGGGGAGACUGGAAUUCCUGGUGUAGCGGUGGAAUGCGCAGAUAUCAGGAGGAACACCGGUGGCGAAGGCGGGUCUCUGGGCAGUAACUGACGCUGAGGAGCGAAAGCGUGGGGAGCGAACAGGAUUAGAUACCCUGGUAGUCCACGCCGUAAACGGUGGGUACUAGGUGUGGGUUUCCUUCCUUGGGAUCCGUGCCGUAGCUAACGCAUUAAGUACCCCGCCUGGGGAGUACGGCCGCAAGGCUAAAACUCAAAGGAAUUGACGGGGGCCCGCACAAGCGGCGGAGCAUGUGGAUUAAUUCGAUGCAACGCGAAGAACCUUACCUGGGUUUGACAUGCACAGGACGCCGGCAGAGAUGUCGGUUCCCUUGUGGCCUGUGUGCAGGUGGUGCAUGGCUGUCGUCAGCUCGUGUCGUGAGAUGUUGGGUUAAGUCCCGCAACGAGCGCAACCCUUGUCUCAUGUUGCCAGCACGUUAUGGUGGGGACUCGUGAGAGACUGCCGGGGUCAACUCGGAGGAAGGUGGGGAUGACGUCAAGUCAUCAUGCCCCUUAUGUCCAGGGCUUCACACAUGCUACAAUGGCCGGUACAAAGGGCUGCGAUGCCGUGAGGUGGAGCGAAUCCUUUCAAAGCCGGUCUCAGUUCGGAUCGGGGUCUGCAACUCGACCCCGUGAAGUCGGAGUCGCUAGUAAUCGCAGAUCAGCAACGCUGCGGUGAA
rnacentral:rRNA from 1 species